GACGAACGCUGGCGGCGUGCUUAACACAUGCAAGUCGAACGAAGUGGCGAACGGGUGAGUAACGCGUAAUCAACCUGCCCUUCAGAGGGGGACAACAGUUGGCAACGACUGCUAAUACCGCAUACUGACGGAGGGGAUUGCGUCUGAUUAGCUAGUUGGAGGGGUAACGGCCCCCCAAGGCGAUGAUCAGUAGCCGGUCUGAGAGGAUGAAGGGCAAAAGUGGGACGGGGAUACGGACCAAACUCCUACGGGAGGCAGCAGUGGGGAAUAGUGCACAAUGGGGGAAACCCUGAUGCAGCAACGCCGCGUGCGGGAGGACGGCAUGCGGGUUGUAAACCGCUUUCAGCCAUGACGCGGUAGUGGCAGAAGAAGCAACGGCUAACUACGUGCCAGCAGCCGCGGUAAUUC
rnacentral:rRNA from 1 species